UACAGAGGUCUCAAGCGUUGUUCGGAUUCAUUGGGCGUAAAGGGUGCGUAGGCGGCGCGGUAAGUCGGGUGUGAAAUCUUGGAGCUUAACUCCGAAACUGCAUUCGAUACUGCCGUGCUUGAGGACUGGAGAGGAGACUGGAAUUUACGGUGUAGCGGUGAAAUGCGUAGAUAUCGUAAGGAAGACCAGUGGCGAAGGCGGGUCUCUGGGACGGUACUGACACUGAGACGCGAAAGCGUGGGGAGCGAACAGG
rnacentral:rRNA from 1 species